UGAAUACGAGAUGCUACGGCGUCGAAGCAGUCUAUGUCAUACUUCCAAGAAAAGCUUGCACUGUCAUAAACAAAUAAUGCCUGUACCAUAACCGACACAGGUGGGUAGGUAGAGUAUACUAAGGGGCGCGAGAUAACUCUCUCUAAGGAACUCGGCAAAAUGACUCCGUAACUUCGGGAGAAGGAGUGCCUUAUUUAUAAGGUUGCAAUAACAAGAUCCAAGCAACUGUUUACCAAAAACACAGGUCUCCGCUAAGUCGUAAGACGAUGUAUGGGGGCUGACGCCUGCCCAGUGCCAGAAGGUUAAAGAAGUUGGUUAGCAUCCGCGAAGCUGAUAACUGAAGCCCUGGUGAACGGCGGCCGUAACAAUAACGGUCCUAAGGUAGCGAAAUUCCUUGUCGGGUAAGUUCCGACCCGCACGAAAGGCGUAAUGAUUUGGAUACUGUCUCGGAGAGGGGCUCGGUGAAAUAGACUUGUCUGUGAAGAUGCGGACUACCUGCACCAGGACAGAAAGACCCUAUGAAGCUUUACUGUAACCUGAAAUUGAAAUUGGACUUUACUUGCGCAGUAUAGGUGGGAGGCGUUGAGAAUAUUCUUGCGGGAUUAUUGGAGCCAUCAGUGAGAUACCACUCUUGUAAUGUUAGAUUUCUAACUUUGUAUCAUUAUCUGGUCAAAGAACAGUUUCAGGCGGGCAGUUUGACUGGGGCGGUCGCCUCCUAAACGGUAACGGAGGCGCACAAAGGUUUCCUCUGAACGGGUAGAAAUCGUAUCUAGAGUGUAAAGGCAUAAGGAAGCUUGACUGUGAGACCUACAAGUCGAGCAGGGACGAAAGUCGGUCUUAGUGAUCUGACGGUGCUGAGUGGAAAGGCCGUCACUCAACGGAUAAAAGUUACUCUAAGGAUAACAGGCUGAUCUCCCCCAAGAGUUCACAUCGACGGGGAGGUUUGGCACCUCGAUGUCGGCUCACCGCAUCCUGGGGCGGUAGUACGUCCCAAGGGUUGGGCUGUUCGCCCAUGAAAGCGGUACGCGAGCUGGGUUCAGAACGUCGUGAGACAGUUCGGUCCAUAUCCGGUGUAGGCGUUAGAAUAUUGAGAGGAGCCUUCUUUAGUACGAGAGGACCGAGAAGGACAUACCUCUGGUGUACCAGUUAUCGUGCCAACGGUAAACGCUGGGUAGCUAUGUGUGGAGUGGAUAACCGCUGAAAGCAUCUAAGUGGGAAGCCCACCUCAAGAUAAGUAUUCUC
rnacentral:rRNA from 1 species